rnacentral:rRNA from 1 species
AUGGAGAGGAUGGCAUCCUCAUAUUUUCAGGAAAUCUUUACUAAGGAUCCAACACUUAGCUCGGGUGAGGUCCUGGAUUGUAUCGAGCCGCGGGUUACAGCAGCAAUGAAUGAGGCUCUGUGCAAGGCGUAUAUAGAGGAGGAGAUCUCUAACGCCCUCUUUCAGAUUGGUCCCUUGAAGGCCCCGGGAAGAGAUGGCUUUCUGACUCGGUUUUAUCAGCGCAAUUGGUCGCUAGUCAAAGGAGAAAUUUGUGCUGCUGUUCAGGAUUUCUUCGUCACGGGGAUCAUGCCGGAUAAUGUUAAUGACACGGCAAUUGUGCUUAUCCCGAAAGUUCCUCACCCAAAGGAGCUUAGGGAUUUUUGGCCAAUUAGUUUGUGCAACGUCGUUUAUAAAAUUGUCUCCAAAUGUUUGAUGAAUAGGUUACGGCCUUGUCUUACAGAUCUUAUAUCUGAGAAUCAGAGCGCCUUCAUUCCAGGAAGGCUCAUAUUGAUACCUCGAUCAUUGCGUUCGAAUGUAUUAACCAUAUUCAGUCAAUCAAGAGUAAUGCUCCAGCCUUAUGUGCUUACAAGUUGGAUCUAUCAAAGGACUAUGAUCGCGUUGACUGGGAUUUCUUGGAGAAGGCGCUGGACAAGUGGGGAUUUUCGCCUCACUGGAUUUCUCGUGUGA